UCCGUAGGUGAACCUGCGGAAGGAUCAUUAAAGAUUCUAAGGCUUCGGUCUUAAUUUCGGCUGUGCGCUCAGGCUGCACGCCGAUAACCUCUCACACCUGUGCACCUUUUCGGUUGCGGUUUCAGCCGCUUCCGCUUUUACAUGCAACCACGAAAAGUCUAGAAUGUGACGAGAACUAUAAAGUAACAACUUUCAACAACGGAUCUCUUGGCUCUCGCAUCGAUGAAGAACGCAGCGAAAUGCGAUAAGUAAUGUGAAUUGCAGAAUUCAGUGAAUCAUCGAAUCUUUGAACGCACCUUGCGCUCCUUGGUAUUCCAUGGAGCAUGCCUGUUUGAGUGUCACGUAAACCCUCACCCUUGCGAUGUAACAGUCGCCUGCGGUGGACUUGGACCGUGCCGGUAAUCGGCUCGUCUUGAAAUGCAUUAGCUGGCGCUUUUAGAGUGCUGGGCGAACGGUGUGAUAAUUAUCUGCGCCGACUGCCCUGGGCCUCUUCAGCGGCGCUGCUUACAGCCGUCCCUUGUGGACAACUAUUUUAAAGCUUUGGCCUCAAAUCAGGUAGGACUACCCGCUGAACUUAAGCAUAUCAAUAAGCGGAGGA
rnacentral:rRNA from 1 species